ensembl:lncRNA
GGAAGAGUUCUUGAAAUCCUCACUGCAACCGGGGCUCCCCAGGAACUGUGGAUCUGGAUGAUGUCUUGGUCCUAGUUUGCCACCAAAUAUGUCUGCACCUUGCAGAGCACCAUGGUGGGAGGGACACCCUGCCCAGCUCUGAACAGGAAGGAGAAUCGCCACCACACGCCUCUGUGAUGUGCAAUAAGCUGUGUGUAAGAGCAACACUCUGAAGUAUGUGACAGACAGCGUGGUGACUUCCUUAGGUGACACAGCAUGAUGCCAUCUUACUGUCUUGAAACCUUUGGCAGUGACUGCAGCCAUGAACGUGAGCACACCCAGACUACAAAUACAGGUGACAGCGGCGCGGGCUGGAGCGACCAGCUGGUGCUGUCAGGAAGAGCAAUGGGCAAGAGCUUUGCUUCAACAAGCCUGGACUGUGGUCACAUCUGUGUGCUCAGCCUUCGACCUGGAGAGACCUACUGGUUUACGCAAGUAAAAAAUCUUUCUGAAGACCUGUUUUCCUGAAACAUUUCUGAGCACAUACUAGUUUCUCUCAUGCCCUGUAUGCAAGCACCAGUCCUCUUUGCCUUGGGAAAUGACCACACAAAUUGCAGUCAAGAUUGUCCUAAAGUCCUGCCAGAAGCGAGCCAAAGAGAAGACUCCAAUUACCUCACCUAUGAAAAUUUCUUCUCCAGCAUAUAGUUGGAAGAUCAUGCCUGGCUGUAAAGAAAACUCUACAAAGUAUUUCUUACUGAAGAGAGAACAUCUUUUCCACUUUACCAUCGCUUUCUUUUACUUUUGUCUACUUCCAUGUUUUAUAUAAAGGUUCCUGGGAUAAAAGGCAUACAGUUUAGACUUCUUUGAAACUUCGGAUAAUGUUUAUAUCAGUCUUUAAACAUAAUGAUCUCCACUCACAAAUCCUAUAGAGGAUAUAAGCUGAAAAAUUAACCUCUCAGGCAAAAAGAGAUGUGGAAAUGCAUAGGAAAUGUUGAAUGUGUACACAGACUACUUUGUAACGCAGAUCCUAGUCAUUGCUGAUGGCUCUUA